UGCCAGCCGCCGCGGUAACACCUGCGCCACGAGUGGCAAUCACGUUUAUUGGGCCUAAAGCGUUCGUAGCCGGAUCGAUCAGUCUUGAGUGAAAUCGUUGCGCUUAACAAAACGGCGUGCUUGAGAUACUGUUGGUCUAGAGACCGGGAGGCGUUAGAGGUAUUCGAGGGGGAGCGGUAAAAUGUUGUAAUCCUUCGAGGACCACCUGUGGCGAAGGCGUCUAACGAGAACGGGUCUGACGGUGAGGAACGAAAGCUAGGGGAGCAAACCGGAUUAGAUA
rnacentral:rRNA from 1 species